rnacentral:rRNA from 1 species
AAGAGACAGCAGCAGCCGCGGUAAUACGUAGGUGGCAAGCGUUGUCCGGAUUUACUGGGCGUAAAGCGAACGCAGGCGGGCUGUUAAGUAGGAAGUGAAAGGUCGGAGCUCAACUCCAACAUUGCUUCCUAUACUGGCAGUCUUGAGUAGCGGAGAGGAAGGGGGAACGACACGUGUAGCGGUGAAAUGCGUUGAUAUGUGUCGGAACACCCAUGGCGAAAGCACCCUUCUGGACGCAAACUGACGCUCAGGUUCGAAAGCCAAGGUAGCGAACAGGAUUAGAUACCCGUGUAGUCCCUGUCUCUUAUAC